AAAUUGAAGAGUUUGAUCAUGGCUCAGAUUGAACGCUGGCGGCAGGCCUAACACAUGCAAGUCGAACGGUAACAGGAAGCAGCUUUCUGCUUCGCUGACGAGUGGCGGACGGGUGAGUAAUGUCUGGGAAACUGCCUGAUGGAGGGGGAUAACUACUGGAAACGGUGGCUAAUACCGCAUAACGUCGCAAGACCAAAGAGGGGGACCUUCGGGCCUCUUGCCAUCAGAUGUGCCCAGAUGGGAUUAGCUUGUUGGUGAGGUAACGGCUCACCAAGGCGACGAUCCCUAGCUGGUCUGAGAGGAUGACCAGCCACACUGGAACUGAGACACGGUCCAGACUCCUACGGGAGGCAGCAGUGGGGAAUAUUGCACAAUGGGCGCAAGCCUGAUGCAGCCAUGCCGCGUGUAUGAAGAAGGCCUUCGGGUUGUAAAGUACUUUCAGCGGGGAGGAAGGUGUUGUGGUUAAUAACCGCAGCAAUUGACGUUACCCGCAGAAGAAGCACCGGCUAACUCCGUGCCAGCAGCCGCGGUAAUACGGAGGGUGCAAGCGUUAAUCGGAAUUACUGGGCGUAAAGCGCACGCAGGCGGUCUGUCAAGUCGGAUGUGAAAUCCCCGGGCUCAACCUGGGAACUGCAUUCGAAACUGGCAGGCUUGAGUCUUGUAGAGGGGGGUAGAAUUCCAGGUGUAGCGGUGAAAUGCGUAGAGAUCUGGAGGAAUACCGGUGGCGAAGGCGGCCCCCUGGACAAAGACUGACGCUCAGGUGCGAAAGCGUGGGGAGCAAACAGGAUUAGAUACCCUGGUAGUCCACGCCGUAAACGAUGUCUACUUGGAGGUUGUGCCCUUGAGGCGUGGCUUCCGGAGCUAACGCGUUAAGUAGACCGCCUGGGGAGUACGGCCGCAAGGUUAAAACUCAAAUGAAUUGACGGGGGCCCGCACAAGCGGUGGAGCAUGUGGUUUAAUUCGAUGCAACGCGAAGAACCUUACCUGGUCUUGACAUCCACGGAAGUUUUCAGAGAUGAGAAUGUGCCUUCGGGAACCGUGAGACAGGUGCUGCAUGGCUGUCGUCAGCUCGUGUUGUGAAAUGUUGGGUUAAGUCCCGCAACGAGCGCAACCCUUAUCCUUUGUUGCCAGCGAUUAGGUCGGGAACUCAAAGGAGACUGCCAGUGAUAAACUGGAGGAAGGUGGGGAUGACGUCAAGUCAUCAUGGCCCUUACGACCAGGGCUACACACGUGCUACAAUGGCGCAUACAAAGAGAAGCGACCUCGCGAGAGCAAGCGGACCUCAUAAAGUGCGUCGUAGUCCGGAUUGGAGUCUGCAACUCGACUCCAUGAAGUCGGAAUCGCUAGUAAUCGUGGAUCAGAAUGCCACGGUGAAUACGUUCCCGGGCCUUGUACACACCGCCCGUCACACCAUGGGAGUGGGUUGCAAAAGAAGUAGGUAGCUUAACCUUCGGGAGGGCGCUUACCACUUUGUGAUUCAUGACUGGGGUGAAGUCGUAACAAGGUAACCGUAGGGGAACCUGCGGUUGGAUCACCUCCUUACCUUAAAGAA
rnacentral:rRNA from 1 species